rnacentral:rRNA from 10 species
AUGAAAUGACUCUCGGCAACGGAUAUCUCGGCUCUUGCAUCGAUGAAGAACGUAGCGAAAUGCGAUACUUGGUGUGAAUUGCAGAAUCCCGUGAACCAUCGAGUCUUUGAACGCAAGUUGCGCCUGAAGCCAUUAGGUUGAGGGCACGCCUGCCUGGGUGUCACAC